CUCACGUCGCAGUUCAUGGAGCAAUGGUCGGAUAUACAGGCUUCACCGUUGGUCCUGUCAAUGGCAUACAUGCUUACAUUCCAUUUAACGUAUGUUCUAUUGCACCUUUAAUAACUUCUCAAUCUGUGAACACCGCUUGAUGUUGUAAAUCAAAUUGUCGCAUUACUC